CCCCUGCUCACGGGUUGUGGGAGCUCCUGUGUGGGCCUCCGUAUAUUUUUGUUACACUUUAUCCCACCUGUGCCUGUCAGUUCCUUUCCACUUGCCUCCUCCCGUGACAGUCUGGCUCAUGUUUCUUCAUAAAGCUCUAAGCCAGUUAUUAAUAACAGCCCAGCGAGUCUCCGGAUCCACCUAAGAGCAUGUGGUGUUUUUCACAAAAGAGAAGAGAGAUCAUCUCCUUGACUUGGGACUUUGCUUGCGGAGCCCUGAACAGAGGACCUGCUCCGUCCUUGGGAGCUCAGCUGAAACCAGACGAUCCAGUCGUUCUCCAGGACCAGCGUAGCUUCCUGCUAAGGGUGGCUUCAUCGCUGCUUCAUUGUACCAGCCACCGUUUGCUCCAGCACCAGGCAGCACGCUGGGCUCACAGCUUCCCUUUUUACUGAUCCUGAGAUACCGCGGUGGCAAAGGCUGUGGAGCCAGACAGACCUUCCUUCAAAUCCCCGG
rnacentral:lncRNA from 1 species